rnacentral:rRNA from 1 species
GGGUUGUGAGGUUAAGCGACUAAGCGUACACGGUGGAUGCCCUGGCAGUCAGAGGCGAUGAAGGGCGUGCUAAUCUGCGAUAAGCGCCGGUAAGGUGAUAUGAACCGUUAUAACCGGCGAUACCCGAAUGGGGAAACCCAGUGUGACUCGUCACACUAUCAUUAACUGAAUCCAUAGGUUAAUGAGGCGAACCGGGGGAACUGAAACAUCUAAGUACCCCGAGGAAAAGAAAUCAACCGAGAUUCCCCCAGUAGCGGCGAGCGAACGGGGAGGAGCCCAGAGCCUGAAUCAGCAUGUGUGUUAGUGGAAGCGUCUGGAAAGGCGCGCGAUACAGGGUGACAGCCCCGUACACAAAAGCGCAUGUGCUGUGAGCUCGAUGAGUAGGGCGGGACACGUGGUAUCCUGUCUGAAUAUGGGGGGACCAUCCUCCAAGGCUAAAUACUCCUGACUGACCGAUAGUGAACCAGUACCGUGAGGGAAAGGCGAAAAGAACCCCGGCGAGGGGAGUGAAAAAGAACCUGAAACCGUGUACGUACAAGCAGUGGGAGCCCCACCACCAAAGCAUUUGCUGUACCGCGUUGACGGAGCGAAGCGACGUCAAACCGAUAAAACAGCAGUGUAAAGUGAGCCGCAGGGCGCUUUGCGCGACAGCGCAAAGGCAGGCGGUUUCGCGUAGCGAAAGCGAAUGCUUUGGGGUGGGGUGACUGCGUACCUUUUGUAUAAUGGGUCAGCGACUUAUAUUCUGUAGCAAGGUUAACCGAAUAGGGGAGCCGGAGGGAAACCGAGUCUUAAUUGGGCGUUAAGUUGCAGGGUAUAGACCCGAAACCCGGUGAUCUAGCCAUGGGCAGGUUGAAGGUUGGGU